UACGGGGGGGGCAAGCGUUGUUCGGAAUUACUGGGCGUAAAGGGCUCGUAGGCGGCCAACUAAGUCAGACGUGAAAUCCCCAGGCUCAACCUGGGAACUGCGUCUGAUACUGGAUGGCUUGAAUCCGGGAGAGGGAUGCAGAAUUCCAGGUGUAGCGGUGAAAUGCGUAGAUAUCAAGAGGAACACCUGAGGUGAAGACGGGUUGCUGGGCUGACACUGACGCUGAGUGCGCGAAAGCCAGGGGAGCAAACGGG
rnacentral:rRNA from 1 species